rnacentral:rRNA from 1 species
AUUGAACGCUGGCGGCAGGCCUAACACAUGCAAGUCGAGCGCGUGGCGGACGGGUGAGUAAUGUAUGGGGAACUGCCUGAUGGAGGGGGAUAACUACUGGAAACGGUAGCUAAUACCGCAUACCAUCAGAUGACCCCAUAUGGGAUUAGCUUGUAGGUGUGGUAAAGGCUCACCAAGGCGACGAUCCCUAGCUGGUCUGAGAGGAUGAUGAGCCACACUGGAACUGAGCCACGGCCCAGACGCCUACGGGAGGCAGUAGUGGGGAAUAUUGCACAAUGGGCGAAAGCCGGAUGCAGCCAUGCCGCGGGUAGGAAGAAGGCCCUAGGGUUGUAAAGUACUUGCAGUGGGGAGGCGUUACCGACAGAAGAAGCACCGGCUAACUCCGUGCCAGCAGCCGCGGUAAUUC